rnacentral:lncRNA from 1 species
GAGGGAGUAUGCUAUGCAAAGAAGGAUUAUAAUCUUGCGAAGCACCCAGAAAUCGAUGUUCCAAACCUGCAGGUGAUUAAGCUGAUGCAGAGCUUCAAAUCUAGGGAGUAUGUUCGUGAGACAUUUGCGUGGAUGCACUAUUAUUGGUACCUUACGAAUGAUGGGAUUGAGUUUUUGAGGACUUACCUCAAUCUUCCAUCAGAAAUUGUUCCUGCUACCUUGAAGAAAUCCGCUAAGCCAGCUGGUCGCCCGAUGGGUGGACCUGGUGGUGAUCGUCCAAGGUAUAUUUUACUUUAUUUCUCAUUCCUAUUUUGGACUUUGUUUGUUUUUCUUGUUGAAUUAAUUUUUCUUGUUCUCUUGGUAUGUGAUUAAUGUUUCUCAAUAUUUUACUUUAGGGGCCCACCUCGUUUUGAUGGAGACCGACCGAGGUUUGGUGACCGUGAAGGGUACCGUGGUGGUCCUCGUGGUGGUGACUUUGGUGGUGAGAAAGGUGGAGCCCCUGCUGAUUUCCAGCCAUCCUUCAGGGUAAUUUUACUUCCACCAAGUUCUUACAUUUUCUAUAGAUAUACAUUCGGUAAAGUAAUCCAUGGUUGCAAUAAGAGCUUGCUUCUUAUUAUCAUGGUUUUGUGAAUUAGUCUGUUUCAUGUGAAUUGUUAAACCACAUAAUUUAAAAAGAAAGAAAGAAAAAGGCUAACGGUUUGUAACUUGGCCUUGACUAAUUCCACCUUUAUAUUUUUACUCACCUGUUCUUUUUGUUCUUCAGGGUUCUGGUGGAAGACCUGGUUUUGGUCGCGGAGGUGGAGGCUAUGGUGCAGCUCCAUCAGGUUCAGGAUUUCCUUGAAGUUAAGGCCGGUUUGCUUAGUUCAUGUUUGCCCCAAAUUAGUGUUUCAAGUCUUUAGAACAAGUCUAAUGCCUUUGUUGAAUUUUCUAUAGUAUUUCUGUAAGCUUUAAAGUACAAUAUUAAGUUCAUUAUGAGAUCUUCAGUUUUUCCUCAGCAUGGCUGUUGGUUUAAAUGGAACCCUCAUCAGUAUUUGCAUUAUGGUUACGGCAGUUGUAUUUUGAUAUUUCGUAUAAGUGUCAUUCUAUGGUGCUGUGAUUAAAGUUAUGGCAUCAAUACCGUAAGUCAACAUAAAUUAUGUAAAUGAAACAUAAAACUUGUAAACUUAACAUAAAAUUCGUAAAUCAACAUUAAUUGUAAAAUUAAAAAUAGGGUUAUUAUUAUUUCACUAUUUUAAAAAUUGUCAAAUAUCAAAUGAUUAUAAUAAGUAUUUUUUUUAAUUAUUUUUUUACUAUAUAUUUAUAAAAAUAUUAUUUUAUUACUUUUUCGUUAUAACUGUUAGUUGACUAGUUAGUUGAUUAAUAAAAUAUCAAUUUCACUCUUCAUGAUUUAAAAAAAAAAAAACUUGAAACUUAUUUAUAAAAUAAAUUUGUAAUAUAUUUAUUAAAAUGGACUAGGAUCAUGAUUGGGCUUGCAUAAGAACUUGAUUCGGUUAAAACUGAAAUUGAUAAAAUAAUGUGGUACUGCAAUUCUUGUUAGUUGAAUUAAAUUUGCUUUGAAUCCACAGAGGGAGUAUGCUAUGCAAAGAAGGAUUAUAAUCUUGCGAAGCACCCAGAAAUCGAUGUUCCAAACCUGCAGGUGAUUAAGCUGAUGCAGAGCUUCAAAUCUAGGGAGUAUGUUCGUGAGACAUUUGCGUGGAUGCACUAUUAUUGGUACCUUACGAAUGAUGGGAUUGAGUUUUUGAGGACUUACCUCAAUCUUCCAUCAGAAAUUGUUCCUGCUACCUUGAAGAAAUCCGCUAAGCCAGCUGGUCGCCCGAUGGGUGGACCUGGUGGUGAUCGUCCAAGGUAUAUUUUACUUUAUUUCUCAUUCCUAUUUUGGACUUUGUUUGUUUUUCUUGUUGAAUUAAUUUUUCUUGUUCUCUUGGUAUGUGAUUAAUGUUUCUCAAUAUUUUACUUUAGGGGCCCAC